rnacentral:rRNA from 1 species
GACGAACGCUGGCGGCGUGCUUAACACAUGCAAGUCGAACGGAAAGGCCCUGCGUUUGUGGGGUGCUCGAGUGGCGAACGGGUGAGUAACACGUGAGUAACCUGCCCUUGACUUUGGGAUAACUUCAGGAAACUGGGUCUAAUACCGGAUAGGAGCUCCUGCUUCAUGGUGGGGGUUGGAAAGUUUCGGCGGUUGGGGAUGGACUCGGGGCUUAUCAGCUUGUUGGUGGGGUAGUGGCUUACCAAGGCUUUGACGGGUAGCCGGCCUGAGAGGGGGACCGGGCCAAUUGGGAAUGAGAUAAGGCCCAGACUCCUACGGGAGGCAGCAGGUGGGAAUAUUGCACAAUGGGCGGAAGACUGAUGCAGCAAAGCCGCGUGCGGGAUGACGGCCUUCGGGUUGUAAACCGCUUUCGCCUGUGACGAAGCGUGAGUGACGGUAAUGGGUAAAGAAGCACCGGCUAACUACGUG